GUCGAUCCAGCCACUCUCAACCAAUUGCUCCUUGUCUUCAGUAUGUUUCCUCUUGUUUGGUGGCCCCAACAUGACUAGUUAUUUUGCAGUUUUUUAUUCAAGUUAUCGCUCACUGCUAAAUCGUGUCUACUUCUUUGCUUUUGGGUCAAGCUUCCCCUGCAUUUCCUGACAGAGUGCUCUUGCCUUUUUACUGGCCUGGAGUAGCAGAGCACUUUUGAGGCCUGGCGGUUUCUGAUGUCCUGUAAGGUGGAGUUGAUCCAGCCAAGGACAGAGUCUUAGCAUGUGUCGCCACAAGCUUAUACUUUUAGAUCCAGGAUGAAGCCGGAUCUCACAAACCUUGGACCAGGCUUUAUCCGUCACCACCUUAUACCAUGGCCAAGUUGCUUGCUCAGUGAUCAACCCAGUAGGAAGGGAAGCGUGAAAGGAGCCGGCUGGAUUCAACACUGGGACCACUCGCCUCAAAGACCCAUGCGGAAGCCGCCACACCACUGGCUGGCAGGAGGCACAAACAGCAGCAAUGUUCCAGCUUGUGAAAUCGAAGGAUUACCCACAUAUUGCCUUGAUACUGUGCUGCAAAUUUCAUCUGUUGAAAGGUCAUCGAUGUUAAACGCGAACUUUGUUUCUCGCCCCAUGGGUACUGCCUGACCUGCUAAGUACCAUCAGCAUUUUCUGUUUUUGAUUGAGAUUUAAGUUGCUGCUUUCAUAUGUGAUUUGCUCUCCUUAAUACUGACAUCCUGUUUUCAGUGAGCUAGAA